rnacentral:rRNA from 1 species
GAUGAACGCUGGCGGCGUGCCUAAUACAUGCAAGUCGAGCGAACAGACGAGGAGCUUGCUCCUCUGACGUUAGCGGCGGACGGGUGAGUAACACGUGGAUAACCUACCUAUAAGACUGGGAUAACUUCGGGAAACCGGAGCUAAUACCGGAUAAUAUAUUGAACCGCAUGGUUCAAUAGUGAAAGACGGUUUUGCUGUCACUUAUAGAUGGAUCCGCGCCGCAUUAGCUAGUUGGUAAGGUAACGGCUUACCAAGGCGACGAUGCGUAGCCGACCUGAGCGGGUGAUCGGCCACACUGGAACUGAGACACGGUCCAGACUACUACGGGAGGCAGCAGUAGGGAAUCUUACGCAGUGGGCGAAAGCCUGACGGAGCAACGCCGCGUGAGUGAUGAAGGUCUUCGGAUCGUAAAACUCUGUUAUUAGGGAAGAACAAAUGUGUAAGUAACUAUGCACGUCUUGACGGUACCUAAUCAGAAAGCAACGGCUAACUACGUG